CUCUGGAAGGUAGUUCUCUGUUGCAUGUAUAAAAACUUUAGUUUUGAAGACUAUCAGAAUUUCCAAUAGACUGCAGUCAUGAACAAGCUAAAGAUCGAGGAUCAUUUAUGGUCUGAUUGAGCUAAGAUUUUGACAGGAGACAGACAACUCACUAAUCUUCAUUCUGAAUGAUGGAGAUGAUUUUUGGAGCUCUAUAAGGUC
rnacentral:lncRNA from 1 species